rnacentral:sRNA from 1 species
GUCACUAAGAAGGGAGAAAAGGGUGCUGAUGUUGACUUGGAAUUUUGGCUUUAAUUUCUAGGACACCAGAGUCCCAUCUCAUAAAAAAAGGUAGCAUGAACUACCCAGAGUUGUACCACUCACUCAUUUAUAAAUGGAAGAGAAAAGAGCAAAGCUUGCAGAGGCUGCAGAGAGGAGACAAAAAGAGGCUGCAUCUCGGGGAAUUUUAGAUGUUCAAUCUGUGCAAGAAAAGAGAAAGAAAAAGGAAAAAAUAGAAAAACAAA